rnacentral:rRNA from 1 species
GACGAACGCUGGCGGCGUGCCUAAUACAUGCAAGUUGAGCGCUGAAGGUUGGUACUUGUACCGACUGGAUGAGCAGCGAACGGGUGAGUAACGCGUGGGGAAUCUGCCUUUGAGCGGGGGACAACAUUUGGAAACGAAUGCUAAUACCGCAUAAAAACUUUAAACACAAGUUUUAAGUUUGAAAGAUGCAAUUGCAUCACUCAAAGAUGAUCCCGCGUUGUAUUAGCUAGUUGGUGAGGUAAAGGCUCACCAAGGCGAUGAUACAUAGCCGACCUGAGAGGGUGAUCGGCCACAUUGGGACUGAGACACGGCCCAAACUCCUACGGGAGGCAGCAGUAGGGAAUCUUCGGCAAUGGACGAAAGUCUGACCGAGCAACGCCGCGUGAGUGAAGAAGGUUUUCGGGUCGUAAAACUCUGUUGGUAGAGAAGAACGUUGGUGAGAGUGGAAAGCUCAUCAAGUGACGGUAACUACCCAGAAAGGGACGGCUAACUACGUG